UACGUAGGGGGCAAGCGCUGUCCGGAUUUAUUGGGCGUAAAGCGCUCGCAGGUGGUUCAUUGCGUCGUGCGUGAAAGACCCCGGCUCAACUGGGGAGGGUCGUGCGAAACGGGUGAACUAGAGGCCAGUAGGGGGAUGCGGAAUUCCGGGUGUAGUGGUGGAAUGCGUAGAGAUCCGGAGGAACACCAGCGGCGAAGGCGGCAUCCUGGACUGGUCCUGACACUCAGGAGCGAAAGCGUGGGGAGCGAUCCGG
rnacentral:rRNA from 1 species